AUGCUCGCUUCGGCAGCACGUAUACUAAAAUUGGAACGAUACAAAGAAAAUUAGCAUGGCCCUUGCGCAAGGAUGACAUGCAGAUUCAUGAAGUUCCUUGUUUCUUG